GCAAACUUGGUCAUUUAGAGGAAGUAAAAGUCGUAACAAGGUUUCCGUAGGUGAACCUGCGGAAGGAUCAUUACCGAGUGAGGGUCUCCUGGCCCAACCUCCCAAACCCCUUGUUUAUUUGAACCUAUUGUUUGCUUCGGCGGGCCCGUCUCUAUCGACCGCCGGGGGAUCUGACGUCCCCGGGCGUCUUUCUCCCCUGGCCCGCGCCCGCCGGCAGCCCCAUCAAACACUCCACGCGAAUCGUGUAUGUUUCUCUAAGUACCAUUAAAAUCGCAAAAAACUUUCAACAACGGAUCUCUUGGUUCUGGCAUCGAUGAAGAACGCAGC
rnacentral:misc_RNA from 1 species